CGGAGGGUGCAAGCGUUAUCCGGAUUUACUGGGUUUAAAGGGUGUGUAGGCGGACUUUUAAGUCAGCGGUGAAGUCUCCGGGCUCAACCCGGAAACUGCCAUUGAUACUAUUAGUCUUGAAUAUUGUUGAGGUAGGCGGAACGGGUCAUGUAGCGGUGAAAUGCAUAGAUAUGACCCGGAACACCGAUUGCGAAGGCAGCCUACUAAGCAAUUAUUGACGCUGAGGCACGAAAGCGUGGGGAUCAAACAGGAUUAGAUACCCUGGUAGUCCACGCCCUAAACGAUGAUUACUCGACGUUGGCGAUACACUGUUCAGCGUCCAAGCGAAAGCAUUAAGUAAUCCACCUGGGAAGUACGUUCGCAAGAAUG
rnacentral:rRNA from 1 species